GGCUUGUUGAUUUUUAUUUCAAGUCAAACCUGCCCAAUGAUGUUGAUUGAAUGGCCGCAGUAUCUUUAACUGUGCAAAGGUAGCAUAAUCACUAGUUUUUUAAUUGAAGGCUUGAAUGAAAGGUUAAAUGAGAAAGUUACUGUCUCUAGAAAAAUUUAUUAGAAUUUUAUUUUUAAGUGAAAAAGCUUAAAUGUUGAUAGAAGACGAGAAGACCCUAUAGAGUUUUAUAUUUAAGUGAAGAGUUCUAGCUUUAGGAGUUUAUAAGUGGAUUUAAAUUUAAGUAUUUGAUUGGGGUGAUUGAAAAAUUUGAUAAACUUUAAUUAUAUAAUUACACUAAUGUGUGAUUUUUUGAUCCUAAUAUUUAGAUUAAAAGAUGAAAUUACCUUAGGGAUAACAGCGUAAUUUUCUUUAGAGUUCUUAUCGAAGAGAAAGAUUGCGACCUCGAUGUUGGAUUAAAAUUUAUUGUUGGUGCAGAAGCUAGCAUAUUAGGUCUGUUCGACCUUUAAAAUUUUACAUGAUCUGAGUUUAAACCGGUGUGAG
rnacentral:rRNA from 1 species